rnacentral:rRNA from 1 species
ACCCCACUAUGCUUAACCGUAAACCUUAAAUUACAUUACAAACGCCAGAGAACUACGAGCAAAGCUUAAAACUCAAAGGACUUGACGGUACCCCACAUCCACCUAGAGGAGCCUGUCCUAUAAUCGAUAACCCCCGCUUUACCUCACCAUUUUUAGUCAUCAGCCUGUAUACCUCCGUCGUCAGCUUACCACGUGAGCGAACCACAGUGAGCCUAACGCCUACUUGCCACACGUCAGGUCAAGGUGCAGCUAAUAAAAUGUGGAAGAGAUGGGCUACACUCUCUAAUUUAGAAAAUACGGAAAACUAUAUAUGAAACCUAGUUAGAAGGCGGAUUUAGCAGUAAAAAGAAAAUAGAGAGUUCUUUUUAAUUCGGCACUGGGGUGUGUACACACCGCCCGUCACCCUCUUCAAAACCUAACCAAAUAGUAUUUAACUAAUCUCUUACUGUAAGAAGAGGUAAGUCGUAACAUGGUAAGUAUACCGGAAGGUGUGCUUGGAAA